rnacentral:rRNA from 1 species
AGUGAACGCUGGCGGUAGGCCUAACACAUGCAAGUCGAACGGCAGCACAGUAAGAGCUUGCUCUUACGGGUGGCGAGUGGCGGACGGGUGAGGAAUACAUAGGAAUCUACUUUUUCGGGGGGGAUAACGUAGGGAAACUUACGCUAAUACCGCAUACGACCUACGGGUGAAAGCAGGGGAUCUUCGGACCUUGCGCGAUUGAAUGAGCCGAUGUCGGAUUAGCUAGUUGGCGGGGUAAAGGCCCACCAAGGCGACGAUCCGUAGCUGGUCUGAGAGGAUGAUCAGCCACACUGGAACUGAGACACGGUCCAGACUCCUACGGGAGGCAGCAGUGGGGAAUAUUGGACAAUGGGCGAAAGCCUGAUCCAGCCAUACCGCGUGGGUGAAGAAGGCCUUCGGGUUGUAAAGCCCUUUUGUUGGGAAAGAAAAGCAGCAGGUUAAUACCCCGCUGUUCUGACGGUACCCAAAGAAUAAGCACCGGCUAACUUCGUG